CAGGCUUAACACAUGCAAGUCGAGGGGCAGCAUUUCACCUUUGCUUGCAAACUGGAGAUGGCGACCGGCGCACGGGUGAGUAACACGUAUCCAACCUGCCGAUAACUCGGGGAUAGCCUUUCGAAAGAAAGAUUAAUACCCGAUGGUAUAAUCAGACCGCAUGGUCUUGUUAUUAAAGAAUUUCGGUUAUCGAUGGGGAUGCGUUCCAUUAGGCAGUUGGUGAGGUAACGGCUCACCAAACCUUCGAUGGAUAGGGGUUCUGAGAGGAAGGUCCCCCACAUUGGAACUGAGACACGGUCCAAACUCCUACGGGAGGCAGCAGUGAGGAAUAUUGGUCAAUGGGCGCAGGCCUGAACCAGCCAAGUAGCGUGAAGGAUGACUGCCCUAUGGGUUGUAAACUUCUUUUAUAUGGGAAUAAAGUUUUCCACGUGUGGAAUUUUGUAUGUACCAUAUGAAUAAGGAUCGGCUAACUCCGUGCCAGCAGCCGCGGUAAUACGGAGGAUCCGAGCGUUAUCCGGAUUUAUUGGGUUUAAAGGGAGCGUAGGUGGACAGUUAAGUCAGUUGUGAAAGUUUGCGGCUCAACCGUAAAAUUGCAGUUGAUACUGGCUGUCUUGAGUACAGUAGAGGUGGGCGGAAUUCGUGGUGUAGCGGUGAAAUGCUUAGAUAUCACGAAGAACUCCGAUUGCGAAGGCAGCUCACUGGACUGCAACUGACACUGAUGCUCGAAAGUGUGGGUAUCAAACAGGAUUAGAUACCCUGGUAGUCCACACAGUAAACGAUGAAUACUCGCUGUUUGCGAUAUACAGUAAGCGGCCAAGCGAAAGCAUUAAGUAUUCCACCUGGGGAGUACGCCGGCAACGGUGAAACUCAAAGGAAUUGACGGGGGCCCGCACAAGCGGAGGAACAUGUGGUUUAAUUCGAUGAUACGCGAGGAACCUUACCCGGGCUUAAAUUGCAUUUGAAUAUAUUGGAAACAGUAUAGCCGUAAGGCAAAUGUGAAGGUGCUGCAUGGUUGUCGUCAGCUCGUGCCGUGAGGUGUCGGCUUAAGUGCCAUAACGAGCGCAACCCUUAUCUUUAGUUACUAACAGGUCAUGCUGAGGACUCUAGAGAGACUGCCGUCGUAAGAUGUGAGGAAGGUGGGGAUGACGUCAAAUCAGCACGGCCCUUACGUCCGGGGCUACACACGUGUUACAAUGGGGGGUACAGAAGGCAGCUACCUGGUGACAGGAUGCUAAUCCCAAAAGCCUCUCUCAGUUCGGAUCGAAGUCUGCAACCCGACUUCGUGAAGCUGGAUUCGCUAGUAAUCGCGCAUCAGCCAUGGCGCGGUGAAUACGUUCCCGGGCCUUGUACACACCGCCCGUCAAGCCAUGAAAGCCGGGGGUACCUGAAGUACGUAACCGCAAGGAGCGUCCUAGGGUAAAACUGGUAAUUGG
rnacentral:rRNA from 1 species